rnacentral:rRNA from 1 species
UGCCAGCCGCCGCGGUAAUACGGAGGGGGUUAGCGUUGUUCGGAAUUACUGGGCGUAAAGCGCACGUAGGCGGACUGUUAAGUUAGAGGUGAAAUCCCGGGGCUCAACCCCGGAACUGCCUCUGAUACUGGUAGUCUUGAGUUCGAGAGAGGUGAGUGGAACUCCGAGUGUAGAGGUGAAAUUCGUAGAUAUUCGGAAGAACACCAGUGGCGAAGGCGGCUCACUGGCUCGAUACUGACGCUGAGGUACGAAAGUGUGGGGAGCAAACAGGAUUAGAUA